rnacentral:rRNA from 1 species
AGUGAACGCUGGCGGUAGGCCUAACACAUGCAAGUCGAACGGCAGCACAGUAAGAGCUUGCUCUUACGGGUGGCGAGUGGCGGACGGGUGAGGAAUACAUCGGAAUCUACUUUUUCGUGGGGGAUAACGUAGGGGAACUUACGCUAAUACCUCAUACGACCUACGGGUGAAAGCAGGGGAUCUUCGGACCUUUCGGGUCUGAAUGAGCCGAUGUCGGAUUAUCUAGUUGGUGGGGUAAAGGCCUACCAAGUCGACGAUCCGUAGCUGUUCUGAGAGGAUGAUCUGCCAAACUGGAACUGAGACACGGUCCAGACUCCUACGGGAGGCAGCAGAAGGGAAUAUUGUACAAUGGGCGCAAGCCUGAGCCAGCAAGACCGCGUGGGUGAAGAAGGUCUUCGGGUUGUAAAGCCCUUUUGUUGGGAAAGAACAGCAGCAUGUUUAUACCUCUCUGUUCUGACGGUACCUAAAGAAUAAGCACCGGCUAACUUCGUG